rnacentral:lncRNA from 12 species
CCUUCAUAACAUCAUUUUAAAAUCCACAGAGUAAAAAUUGACAGACCUACAGAGAAAGGUUGACAAAUACACCAACAGAGUGGGACACUUAACUUACCUCUCUCAGUAGACAGAAAAUCAAUAAGGAUGUAGAAUAUUUGAACAAGUUUAAUCUGCAGGAGACAUAUGGAACACAUGACCCAACAACCAAAGAAUACGCAUGCUUUUCCAUGUAUACAUGGAACAUUCAUAAAAAUCGAUGUCAUAGUAGACCAUAAAACAUCACUGAACAAAGCUCAAAGAAUCCACAUCCAAACCACAGUUCCUGACCACAAUGCAAUUACCUUAGAAAUCAAUAAUAGUUCAUAGCUAAAAAUAGUAGCUUGAUCAGAGGAUAACAGCUCAGAGGAAGGAUGUGUGAGGUUAAACCAAGAAGUAGAGCUGGGCAAGAGAAAGGAGGAGGGAUUCUAUAGAUGUUUCUAAUAUCAGCAAAGAAGGAGUUGAAGACAUCACCGAAGUUUAUUGCUCAGGCAACCCGAGGUUGGCACAGCCAUUAAUCAAGAGCAAGGGAGAGCUGAAACAGAAGAGGUUUGAGGGGAGAAGAUAAAGUAUUGUCAGGACUGCAAGGAGACGAGGCGGGAUGAAGGUUUGAAAACAGAACAUCAGCACUGACUUCAGUGAGCAAUUUCAUUAGUGAACAGAGCAGAGAGGUCUGAAUCCAGGCCGCAACGGUUUGAAGAAUGAAUAAGAGGGGAGGCAAGCAAGUCAGAAAGUGUGGAUCUCUCUUCUAAAAAAUGUAAUAAGGAAAGAAAAGAGGAUACCAAAGGAAGAAAGGAUUCACUGUCUGUUUUUGCAUAUAGUUUUGAAUGGGAAGGACAAAUGGGAAGACCAAAGGAGGAUGGUUGUGAGCAUAGCCCCCAGAGGGGGUCCAGGAUCACCUCCAAAGCUUUCCUGCCAUCUCUGCUGCUCACAGUCCACUCUGCCCUUAAACUCGUCUCAGCUCCUGGGGUCAUGACAACACUCGUGACAACAGCUCCCCUGUUUCAGGUGCCACUGGGCUCCGCUGCAAGGGUUUGUCUUCUUGUCUUUGUUUUGGACACCUGAGAAAUCAAGUUCCAGGGAGUGGGCAGACAGGCAGAUGGAACCCUACCGCCUAAGGAACCAAACACACUGGACUUGUUCCCUGUAGGAUG